AUUAUUAUUUGGUUGGGUAUCAGAUGAUUGGAAUAUUUUAGGAGGUCAUGACCUAUCCCAGAGUCUUGGAUUAUGCAAAAAUACUACCUUGUUAUAUGUUUGGAAUUCAUCCAACUCAGGGUAUGCAUUGGAUGAUUUGGUUUGGUAAUGGAGGUGGUCUCCAGUUCUGGUUGGACUUGGGAUGUCUAUUAUGACAAGCCCUUGGUUUGGGUCAUGUC
rnacentral:lncRNA from 1 species